rnacentral:rRNA from 1 species
GCAUAUCAAUAAGCGGAGGAAAAGAAACCAACAGGGAUUGCCCUAGUAACGGCGAGUGAAGCGGCAACAGCUCAAAUUUGAAAUCUGGCUCUUUCAGAGUCCGAGUUGUAAUUUGCAGAGGGCGCUUUGGCUUUGGCAGCGGUCCAAGUUCCUUGGAACAGGACGUCACAGAGGGUGAGAAUCCCGUACGUGGUCGCUAGCUAUUGCCGUGUAAAGCCCCUUCGACGAGUCGAGUUGUUUGGGAAUGCAGCUCUAAAUGGGAGGUAAAUUUCUUCUAAAGCUAAAUAUUGGCCAGAGACCGAUAGCGCACAAGUAGAGUGAUCGAAAGAUGAAAAGCACUUUGGAAAGAGAGUCAAACAGCACGUGAAAUUGUUGAAAGGGAAGCGCUUGCAGCCAGACUUGCUUGCAGUUGCUCAUCCGGGCUUUUGCCCGGUGCACUCUUCUGUAGGCAGGCCAGCAUCAGUUUGGGCGGUGGGAUAAAGGUCUCUGUCACGUACCUCUCUUCGGGGAGGCCUUAUAGGGGAGACGACAUACCACCAGCCUAGACUGAGGUCCGCGCAUCUGCUAGGAUGCUGGCGUAAUGGCUGUAAGCGGCCCGUCUUGAAACACGGACCAAGGAGUCUAACAUCUAUGCGAGUGUUUGGGUGUCAAGCCCGAGCGCGUAAUGAAAGUGAACGGAGGUGGGAACCCGCAAGGGUGCACCAUCGACCGAUCCUGAAGUUUACGGAAGGAUUUGAGUAAGAGCAUGGCUGUUGGGACCCGAAAGAUGGUGAACUAUGCUUGAAUAGGGUGAAGCCAGAGGAAACUCUGGUGGAGGCUCGCAGCGGUUCUGACGUGCAAAUCGAUCGUCAAAUUUGGGCAUAGGGGCGAAAGACUAAUCGAACUAUCUAGUAGCUGGUUCCCUGCCGAA